rnacentral:rRNA from 1 species
AUUGGAGGGCAAGUCUGGUGCCAGCAGCCGCGGUAAUUCCAGCUCCAAUAGCGUAUAUUAAAGUUGUUGCGGUUAAAAAGCUCGUAGUUCGAGUUCAGUUUCGGACUGGGGUGGGAGGUCACCGCCCGGUGCUUUCCCCCUAGGCUCCGAACAGCUUCCGUGAGUGGAAGCCAAGCCGGUUCUGGCGGGGUGCUCUUUACCGAGUGUGCCGUGCGGCCGGCCAGUUCACCUUGAAUAAAUGAGAGUGCUCAAAGCAGGCUACUCUAGAAUACAAUGCCCGAAUGUUAACUGCAUGGAAUGAUGGAAGAUGAUCUGGGUUCCAUUUUGUUGGUGGUGGGAGCCCCAGGUAAUGAUAAAGAGGGACUGUCGGGGGCAUCCGUACUACGACGCGAGAGGUGAAAUUCAGUGACCGUCGUAGGACGAACAACAGCGAAAGCAUUUGCCAAGAAUGUCUUCGUUGAUCAAGAACGAAAGUUAGAGGAUCGAAGGCGAUCAGAUACCGCCCUAGUUCUAACCCUAAACGAUGCUGACCAGCAAUUCGCCGUCGUUAUUCCCAUGACGUGGCGAGACGCCCCCGGGAAACCUCAAGUUUUUGAGUUCCGGGGGUAGUAUGGUUGCAAAAGUGAAACUUAAAGGAAUUGACGGAAGGGCACCACCANGAGUGGAGCCUGCGGCUUAAUUUGACUCAACACGGGAAAGCUCACCAGGCCCGGACACCAGAAGGAUUGACAGAUUAAGAGCUCUUNCUCGAUUU